GACGAACGCUGGCGGCGUGCUUAACACAUGCAAGUCGAACGGAAAGGCCCUGCUUUUGUGGGGUGCUCGAGUGGCGAACGGGUGAGUAACACGUGAGUAACCUGCCCUUGACUUUGGGAUAACUUCAGGAAACUGGGGCUAAUACCGGAUAGGAGCUCCUGCUGCAUGGUGGGGGUUGGAAAGUUUCGGCGGUUGGGGAUGGACUCGCGGCUUAUCAGCUUGUUGGUGGGGUAGUGGCUUACCAAGGCUUUGACGGGUAGCCGGCCUGAGAGGGUGACCGGCAACAUUGGGACUGAGAUACGGCCCAGACUCCUACGGGAGGCAGCAGUGGGGAAUAUUGCACAAUGGGCGGAAGCCUGAUGCAGCAACGCCGCGUGCGGGAUGACGGCCUUCGGGUUGUAACCCGCUUUCGCCUGUGACGAAGCGUGAGUGACGGUAAUGGGUAAAGAAGCACCGGCUAACUACGUG
rnacentral:rRNA from 1 species